GCAGCUACGUGGCCGUGUGCGGCGUCAAUACGUGGGGGGCAUGAGGUGUCCGUAUGUAUGGGGCGGAAGAAGCGUGUAGGCGGGCAAGCAGGUCCCAUGUGAAAACUCGAUGCUGAACCUCGGGACGUCGGUUGAAACCGGUUGGCUAGGGUCCGGAAGAGGAGAGUGGAAGUCCCGGUGUAGCGGUGAAAUGCGCAGAUAUCGGGAAGAACACCCGUGGCGAAGGCGGCUCUCUGGGACGGUACUGACGCUGAGACGCGAAAGCGUGGGGAGCGAACAGGAUUAGAUACCCGAGUAGUC
rnacentral:rRNA from 1 species